rnacentral:lncRNA from 1 species
GCUUUUGUACUUUUAAAUACUAAAUUAUCAUGUUUUGAUAUGGCAUACCCAUGCUUAAUCUACAAGGAAGUGCAUUAUAAAACAGAACCAUAUGAUUCCUUUGAAUCAGAACAAAUGGGUAAAGAAGAAGAGGAGGAGGGAGAGGGAAGAAGCUGGGAGAAAAUUGAGAUUUAAUGAACAUACAUUGGCUAUUAGCUGAGGUGACAUGAGGGUGGAGCAAAGAAGAAUG